rnacentral:rRNA from 1 species
CACCGCCCGUCACACUAUAGGAGCUGGCCAUGUUUGAAGUCAUUACCCUUAAUCGUAAGGAGGGGAAUGCCUAAGGCUAGGCUUGCGACUGGAGUGAAGUCGUAACAAGGUAGCCGUACUGGAAGGUGCGGCUG